rnacentral:lncRNA from 1 species
UCCCAACCAACCCAAAUCCUACCCCGAUUAGAGUACUCAGAAUUAGCCCGCCAGCACCAAUUCGAAAUCAAGUUCCCAGAAAUGGCAUUGAAGAGGUUAUGAGGGAUUUUAGUCUCAACUACCCCGAUCAAAGCCAACCGGUUCAUCAAAGCGAAGUUCCUCACUUCCGCUUGCUUGAGAGGGGCACCAAGCCCCCUAAUAUUCCAGCAACC